rnacentral:rRNA from 1 species
GAUGAACGCUAGCGAUAGGCUUAACACAUGCAAGUCGAGGGGCAGCAUGGUCUUAGCUUGCUAAGACUGAUGGCGGCCGGCGCACGGGUGCGUAACGCGUAUGCAACUUGCCUCACAGAGGGGGAUAACCCGUCGAAAGACGGACUAAUACCGCGUACACUCCAUCUUGGGCAUCCAAGGUAGAGGAAAUGAAAUUCGCUGUGAGAUAGGCAUGCGUCCCAUUAGCUAGUUGGUGAGGUAACGGCUCACCAAGGCGACGAUGGGUAGGGGAACUGAGAGGUUGAACCCCCACACUGGUACUGAGACACGGACCAGACUCCUACGGGAGGCAGCAGUGAGGAAUAUUGGUCAAUGGGCGAGAGCCUGAACCAGCCAAGUCGCGUGAAGGAUGACUGUCUUAUGGAUUGUAAACUUCUUUUAUACGGGAAUAACAAGAGUCACGUGUGACUCCCUGCAUGUACCGUAUGAAUAAGCAUCGGCUAACUCCGUG